rnacentral:rRNA from 1 species
GUCGAGGGGCAGCAUAUGAGUAGCAAUACUUAUGAUGGCGACCGGCGCACGGGUGCGUAACGCGUAUGCAACCUACCUUUUACAGGGGCAUAACACUGAGAAAUCGGUACUAAUUCCCCAUAAUAUCUGAGACGGCAUCGUUUCGGGUUGAAAACUCCGGUGGUAAAAGAUGGGCAUGCGUUGUAUUAGCUGGUUGGUGAGGUAACGGCUCACCAAGGCGACGAUACAUAGGGGGACUGAGAGGUUAACCCCCCACAUUGGUACUGAGACACGGACCAAACUCCUACGGGAGGCAGCAGUGAGGAAUAUUGGUCAAUGGACGCAAGUCUGAACCAGCCAUGCCGCGUGCAGGAAGACGGCUCUAUGAGUUGUAAACUGCUUUUGUACGAGGGUAAAUGCAGGUACGUGUAUCUGUUUGAAAGUAUCGUACGAAUAAGGAUCGGCUAACUCCGUGCCAGCAGCCGCGGUAAUACGGAGGAUCCAAGCGUUAUCCGGAUUUAUUGGGUUUAAAGGGUGCGUAGGCGGUUUUAUAAGUUAGAGGUGAAAUCUCGGGGCUCAACUCCGAAAUUGCCUCUAAUACUGUAGGACUAGAGAGUAGUUGCGGUAGGCGGAAUGUAUGGUGUAGCGGUGAAAUGCUUAGAGAUCAUACAGAACACCGAUUGCGAAGGCAGCUUACCAAACUAUAUCUGACGUUGAGGCACGAAAGCGUGGGGAGCAAACAGGAUUAGAUACCCUGGUAGUCCACGCAGUAAACGAUGAUAACUCGUU